rnacentral:lncRNA from 1 species
CCGGCCUACGAUAAGAGGGAUAACGGUAUCGAUCGAGACACCGCACUCAGUGUUUUGGAAAGUGCCGAAGAGACGGAGGGCUCCCUCCCUGCCCCCCAGGAGCUGGUGCUUUCGUGGUGGAAAGAGACAUAAAAGCAUUUGCAAAGUGAGACAUCCAAUGGGUCCGAGAGUAAGAGAGACGAAACGGUCCAGGUCGGGAAGCCCAGCGUCGUUACGGAGGCUGAGUUUGCUAAUUCUUUCCUGAAUAAGAAAAAGGAAGCCCUCUCAGCGCGCAGAAACUGUAUUCGCAAGCUUAACAUUCAUUCAUUCAUCCCGUCGCAUUGAUCGAGCGCUUACUAUGUGCAGAGCACUGGACUAAGCGCUUGGAAUGGACAAUUCGGCAACGGAUAGAGACCAUCCCCGCCCAACGACGGGCUCACGGCCUAAACGGGGGAGACGGACGGCAGAACGAAACAGAACAAAACAAAACGGUGAAAUAAGAAGUUCGCCCCUCCCUAAAGACCGUAGGCUCACGGUGGGCAGGGAAUGUGUCUAUCGACUCUGUUAUUUUGGACUCCCCCAAGCGUUGAGUACGGUGCUCCGCGCACACGAAGUGAUGGAUAAAUGCAAUCGACUGACUGAUCGAUCGAUCUGGUUUCUCUGAAUUCUAGGACCUCCGCGUGCGUUGCCCGAACCUCACGCUGCCAAAGGCCCCAGGGCCCCCCCUCCCUGCCCAACGCUCCCAGCUCGGGCUCCAGGACAUCGGCGGGACCCGCCCCAGCACGAGGACUCACCUGGCCCCCAAGGAGGUGAGGAAGUCACGGGACCCGGCGAACUCCCAUCGGGUCCCGGCGGAGAAGGCCUUCGCCGGUCCUCCUUCGCCACCGUCCACCACGUCCACCUCCCGGGGCAGUUCCACUCGGCGUCAGGGGAAGGUAAGAAACGCUCUCCUCUCCCGGCGGGCUCCCUCUUCCAAGAGGGAGAAGUUCUGGAGCUGCGGCACAAUAGCCCGCGUGGGCCCGACAAGUUCCCACGCGCGGUCCGGCCUCCACUCCGGGACUCCGGUGAGAGACGUCGGGGGAGGAGAGCUGGGGGAGCCCGGGGAGGUCGGAGGAGGAGACGUCGAGAUGGGCUCGAUGGGACAUCGUCCUCGUCCUCUUCUCAGCCGCCGCGAGGAGCGCGGGGGUCGAAUUGGAAAUCGGCGUGGCCUAACGGGUGGAAAGAGGCCAGGUUUGGGAGUCACAGGUCGUGGGUUCUAAUCCCGGCUCCUCCACUUGUCUGCUGGGUGACCUUGGACAAGUUAUUUAACUUCUCUGGGCCUCAGUGACCUCAUCUGGAAAAUGGGGAUUGAGACUGUGAGCCCCACGUGGGACAACCUGAUUACCCUGCAUCUCCCCCAGUGCUUAGAACAGUCCUUGGCACAUAGUUAGCGCUUAACAAAUACUAUCAUUAUUAUUAUUAUUAAGAAGGGCCUAGGAGGCAGAAUGUCAUGGGUUCUAAUCCCGGCUCCGCCACUUAUCUGCUGAGUGACUUUGGGCAAGUCAUCUCACUUCUCUGGUCCUCAGUUCCCUCAUCUGGAAAAUGGGGAUUGAGACUGUGAGCCCCACGUAGGACAACCUGAUCACCUUGUAUCUCCCCCAGCUCCUAGAACAGUGCCUGGCACAUAGUAAGCAAUUAAAUAUUAUUAUUAUUAUUAUUAUUAUUAAGAGGGGCCUAGGAGGCAGAAGGUCAUGGGUUCUAAUCCCGGCUCCGCCACUUGUCUGCUGAGUGACUCUGGACAAGUCAUCUCACUUCUCCGGGCCUCAGUCACCUCUUCUAUAAAUUGCGGAUUAAGACUGUGAGCUCCACGAGGGAUAGAGUCUGGGUCCAACCCACUUUGCUUCGAUCCACACCAGCAUUUAGGACAGUAGCUGGCACAUAGUAAGUACUUAAUAAAUCCUGUCAUUUAUUUAAAAAAAAACUUAUCUGGGCCUCAUUUACCUCAUCUAUAAAAGGGGGAUGAAGACUGUGAGCUCCACGUGGGACAGGGACUGUGUCCAACCCGAUUUGCUUCGAUCCACCCCGGCAUUUAGUACAGUAGCUGGCACAGAGUAAGCACUUAAUAAAUCCUGUCAUUUAUUUUUUAUAAAAUUCAUCUGGGCCUCAUUUACCUCAUCUAUAAAAAGGGGAUUUAAGACUGUUAGCUCCACGUGGGACAGGGACUGUGUCCAACCCAAUUUGCU